GUAGAUAUAGCUCAAUAGGUAGAGCGACUAUUUGUGACAUAGUUAGUCCUGGUUCGAUUCCAGGUUUUUACC
rnacentral:tRNA from 1 species